rnacentral:rRNA from 1 species
GGCUACACAUGCAAGUCGAGCGGUAGCACAGGGNGCUUGCUCCUGGGUGACGAGCGGCGGACGGGUGAGUAAUGUCUGGGAAACUGCCUGAUGGAGGGGGAUAACUACUGGAAACGGUAGCUAAUACCGCAUAAUGUCUACGGACCAAAGUGGGGGACCUUCGGGCCUCAUGCCAUCAGAUGUGCCCAGAUGGGAUUAGCUAGUAGGUGGGGUAAUGGCUCACCUAGGCGACGAUCCCUAGCUGGUCUGAGAGGAUGACCAGCCACACUGGAACUGAGACACGGUCCAGACUCCUACGGGAGGCAGCAGUGGGGAAUAUUGCACAAUGGGCGCAAGCCUGAUGCAGCCAUGCCGCGUGUGUGAAGAAGGCCUUCGGGUUGUAAAGCACUUUCAGCGAGGAGGAAGGGUUCAGUGUUAAUAGCACUGUGCAUUGACGUUACUCGCAGAAGAAGCACCGGCUAACUCC